AUUUUUCUGGGUGGGAAAAAAAUUCCACCAUUAGUUUUACAUAAUAACAGUUCAGGAAUUAACAAUUUAACACCAAAAUAAAAUGCAGGUAUUUCAGAACAUUUAAAUUCUUUGGGGUGGUACACCAAGACAAAGGGGUUGAUGCCCCCGGUGGCACCCAGUCUGAAUUCUUUUGUGGCCCUGAAGAUUCUGGUUUGUGAGACUCGUCGGCCACAUCCAGUACAGCAAUAUGGCUUCUCGAGAUUAAUUCCUCCAAAUUUUCUUGGUGUGUGAAUGUGUAGCAAAGUGUAUUCUGAUUUUUAAUUUGUUUGUUUGUAGCUUUUAUUAUGAAUUUCCCCAAAAGCAAUUGUUUGUGUGUCCUUAGUUUCAUACCAAUGGUAUUUUGUAGUACAAAUGCUAAUUAAUGUGACUCCCCACAGACUUCAGGGACCCUCAGGUGAUGGUGGAUGCUGUACAGGUAAGUCUGCUCUCUCCAAGCCUUUUCUAAUUUUAUUCUAUUCAUUUGACAUGAAUAUUAUUUGGUAAUUCUCAAGUGUUAAAUAACAAAUGUGCCCCCACCCACUGAGCUCUUAUAUACAGUCUGUAUAUGUUUUAUUAUCAAAAGCAAACAAACAAAA